GACGAACGCUGGCGGCGUGCUUAACACAUGCAAGUCGAACGAAGAGCGAUGGAAGCUUGCUUCUAUCAAUCUUAGUGGCGAACGGGUGAGUAACGCGUAAUCAACCUGCCCUUCAGAGGGGGACAACAGUUGGAAACGACUGCUAAUACCGCAUACGAUCUAAUCUCGGCAUCGAGGAUAGAUGAAAGGUGGCCCCUACAUGUAAGCUAUCACUGAAGGAGGGGAUUGCGUCUGAUUAGCUAGUUGGAGGGGUAACGGCCCACCAAGGCGAUGAUCAGUAGCCGGUCUGAGAGGAUGAACGGCCACAUUGGGACUGAGACACGGCCCAGACUCCUACGGGAGGCAGCAGUGGGGAAUCUUCCGCAAUGGACGAAAGUCUGACGGAGCAACGCCGCGUGAGUGAUGACGGCCUUCGGGUUGUAAAGCCCUGUUAAUCGGGACGAAAGGCCUUCUUGCGAAUAGUGAGAAGGAUUGACGGUACCGGAAUAGAAAGCCACGGCUAACUACGUG
rnacentral:rRNA from 1 species